UACGUAGGGGGCAAGCGUUGUCCGGAUUUAUUGGGCGUAAAGAGCGUGUAGGCGGCCAGAUAGGUCAGCUGUGAAAACUCGAGGCUCAACCUCGAGACGUCGGUUGAAACCACCUGGCUAGAGUCCGGAAGAGGAGAGUGGAAUUCCCGGUGUAGCGGUGAAAUGCGCAGAUAUCGGGAAGAACACCCGUGGCGAAGGCGGCUCUCUGGGACGGUACUGACGCUGAGACGCGAAAGCGUGGGGAGCGAACAGG
rnacentral:rRNA from 1 species